rnacentral:rRNA from 1 species
UGGGGAAUAUUGGACAAUGGGCGAAAGCUGAUCCACAUGCCGCGUGUGUGAAGAAGGCCUUUUGGUUGUAAAGCACUUUAAGUGGGGAGGAAAAGCUUAUGGUUAAUACCCAUAAGCCCUGACGUUACCCACAGAAUAAGCACCGGCUAACUCUGUGCCAGCAGCCGCGGUAAUACAGAGGGUGCAAGCGUUAAUCGGAAUUACUGGGCGUAAAGCGCGCGUAGGUGGUUAUUUAAGUCAGAUGUGAAAGCCCCGGGCUUAACCUGGGAACUGCAUCUGAUACUGGAUAACUAGAGUAGGUGAGAGGGGAGUAGAAUUCCAGGUGUAGCGGUGAAAUGCGUAGAGAUCUGGAGGAAUACCGAUGGCGAAGGCAGCUCCCUGGCAUCAUACUGACACUGAGGUGCGAAAGCGUGGGUAGCAAACAGGAUUAGAUACCCUGGUAGUCCACGCCGUAAACGAUGUCUACCAGUCGUUGGGUCUUUUAAAGACUUAGUGACGCAGUUAACGCAAUAAGUAGACCGCCUGGGGAGUACGGCCGCAAGGUUA